CUGCCUUUACUGCUGCUGCGACUGUGGGUCAGGUGUCCUGAGGGACUGCUGUGUCUGCUGUGUGAGGACAAAACCCCUGGAGCAAAGAACUUGCCCUCCUGGAUAUAUUUUUAUUGGGCUUUGAAAGUCUUAAGGUCCCACCCUCAAGUCGAACAAAGACUGAAUGUGUCAAAGUCGCAUGUCUAACAGGGAAGGUGCAAAUCCUAAAUAGAAGAAUAGAGCCACGACCUGAGGCCCCUGCUGCUGAAAAUUAUCUCUAAAGCAGACAAAAAGAUUCGCCCAGGCCGUGGUAUCUUGUGGAAGAGCCACACUCAAGGGACCAAAGAGCCGGAUGUGGCUCGUGAGCUGCAGUUUGCCAACCACGGCACUGGGGAACUCAAGGAGACAACAGAUGGACAUCGUUAUAAUGCCAUCUAUA